UACGGAGGGUGCAAGCGUUAUCCGGAUUUACUGGGUUUAAAGGGUGCGUAGGUGGGUUGGUAAGUCAGUGGUGAAAUACUUUCGCUUAACGAAGGAACUGCCAUUGAUACUACCAGUCUUGAGUACAGUGGAGGUAGGCGGAAUGCGUCAUGUAGCGGUGAAAUGCUUAGAUAUGACGCAGAACACCAAUUGCGAAGGCAGCUUGCUACACUGUUAUUGACACUGAGGCACGAAAAGCGUGGGGAUCAAACAGG
rnacentral:rRNA from 1 species